rnacentral:rRNA from 1 species
GAUGAACGCUGGCGGCGUGCCUAAUACAUGCAAGUCGAGCGAACAGAUGAGAAGCUUGCUCCUCUGACGUUAGCGGCGGACGGGUGAGUAACACGUGGAUAACCUACCUAUAAGACUGGGAUAACUUCGGGAAACCGGAGCUAAUACCGGAUAAUAUAUUGAACCGCAUGGUUCAAUAGUGAAAGACGGUUUUGCUGUCACUUAUAGAUGGAUCCGCGCCGCAUUAGCUAGUUGGUAAGGUAACGGCUUACCAAGGCAACGAUGCGUAGCCGACCUGAGAGUGGGAGCGCCCACACGGGCAGAGAGACACGGCCCAGCCCCUAAAGGGAGGAGCGAGGGGGGAUUCUCCGGAAAUGGGCGAAGCCCGGACGGAGAACCCCGGGGGAAGGAAUAAGGUUUUUCGUACCGAAAAACUUUUUUAUGGGGAAAAAAAAAAUGUGAAAGAACCUAGGCCCUUCUGAAGGUUCCCUAAUCAAAAGGCCAGGGCAAACUCGGGC